AGAUAAAGGUAAAAAAGAGACUCUCCAGGUAUGCAAAUACUCGCACCCUCUCUUCCUCAUAUGCAAACACUUGCACCCUCUCUUCCUCUCACACUUCUCAUCUGUUCUGGCUUCCUGACUUGGCUAUCGAAGGGUCCUCACCGAAGCCAACUCUGACCAAGACUUGUUUUGCAGGUCUCAUCAUAUUCGCAAUUCUCCAUCGACUCCAGCCACUUCGAUCAAGGUCAGAAAUCUGUCGCAACAGAUUGGUGCUAGAAGAAGGAUACUUUUAUCCAUUUUUGAG
rnacentral:lncRNA from 1 species